CGAACGGCAGCACAGGAGAGCUUGCUCUCUGGGUGGCGAGUGGCGGACGGGUGAGGAAUACAUCGGAAUCUACCUUUUCGUGGGGGAUAACGUAGGGAAACUUACGCUAAUACCGCAUACGACCUUCGGGUGAAAGCRGGGGACCUUCGGGCCUUGCGCGGAUAGAUGAGCCGAUGUCGGAUUAGCUAGUUGGCGGGGUAAAGGCCCACCAAGGCGACGAUCCGUAGCUGGUCUGAGAGGAUGAUCAGCCACACUGGAACUGAGACACGGUCCAGACUCCUACGGGAGGCAGCRGUGGGGAAKAUUGGACAAUGGGCGCARGCCUGAUCCAGCCAUACCGCGUGGGUGAAGAAGGCCUUCGGGUUGUARAGCCCUUUUGUUGGGAAAGAAAAGCAGCCGGUUAAUACCCGGUUGUUCUGACGGUACCCAAAGAAUAAGCACCGGCUAASUUCGUGCCAGCAGCCGCGGUAAUACKAAGGGUGCAAGCGUUACUCGGRAUURCUGGGCGKAAAGCGUGCGUAGGUGGUUGUUUAAGUCUGUUGUGAAARCCCUGGGCUCAACCYGGGAAUUGCMGUGGAUACUGSGCGACUAGAGUGUGGUAKAGGGUAGUGGAAUUCCUGGUGUAG
rnacentral:rRNA from 1 species